GAGAGAGAGUCGUAGGGAGAGAGAAAGAAAGGACUGUCGGCCAUGGUGGUGGUCGACGACGGCCAUGGCGGCGCGUGGCGGUCAAUAGCGGCAACAACAACGACGCUGGGGUAGCAGGUAGAACGGCGGAGAUAGCUUAGCGAGUGGGGUGGCGGCUGUCUGUGUGGGAGACGGAGGGGCAGUGGGUGCUCGGUGGUGCUGUGACUGUGAUGGAUGACGACAGGGGUGAAGUGACUCGCGGCGGAGAGGAGUGCCGAUUGCGGCGGCGAGGUUUUAGGGUAUCGACGAACUCCGACAACCCGUGAUAACACCAGAUCUUUGAAACAUUAAGGUUGCAAUGCCUGUUGGAAAGUAUACUACAUCGAGCAUGAAAUUCAGGCGCUGUACACAUGAGACGUCGUAAACGAGGAAAGUGGAGAUG
rnacentral:lncRNA from 1 species